rnacentral:rRNA from 1 species
AUUGAACGCUGGCGGCAGGCCUAACACAUGCAAGUCGAGCGGAGCGGCGGACGGGUGAGUAAUGCCUAGGAAUCUGCCUGGUCGUGGGGGAUAACGUCCGGAAACGGGCGCUAAUACCGCAUACUCUCAGAUGAGCCUAGGUCGGAUUAGCUAGUUGGUGGGGUAAAGGCCUACCAAGGCGACGAGACGUAACUGGUCUGAGAGGAUGAUCAGUGACACUGGAACUGAGACAAGGUUCAGACUCCUACGGUGGGCAGCAGCGGGGAAUAUUGGACAAUGGGCGAAAGCCUGAUCCAGCCUGGCCUCGUAUGUGAAGAAGGUCUUGGGAUUGUAGAGCACUUUAAGUUGGGAGGCGUUACCAACAGAAUAUGCACCGGCUUACUUCGUGCCAGCAGCCGCGGUAAUUC